rfam:Picea glauca, whole genome shotgun sequence.
GAGUGCGAUCAUACCAGCGUUAAUGCACCGGAUCCUAUCAGAAAUCCGCAGUUAAGUGCGCUUGGGCUAGAGUAGUACUGGGAUGGGUGAGCUCUCGGGAAGUCCUAGUAUUGCACCCU